GGAGUUAGCCGGUGCUUCUUCUGUGAGUGAUGUCCUUCCUGCCGGCUAUUAACCCGCAGGCCUUCUUCCUCACUGAAAGUGCUUUACAACCCGAAGGCCUUCUUCACACACGCGGCAUGGCUGGAUCAGGGUUGACCCCAUUGUCCAAUAUUCCCCACUGCUGCCUCCCGUAGGAGUCUGGGCCGUGUCUCAGUCCCAGUGUGGCUGAUCAUCCUCUCAGACCAGCUACGGAUCGUCGCCUUGGUGAGCCGUUACCUCACCAACCAGCUAAUCCGACAUAGGCUCAUCCGAUAGCGCGAGGCCCGAAGGUCCCCCGCUUUCCCCCGUAGGGCGUAUGCGGUAUUAGCCUGGGUUUCCCCAGGUUAUCCCCCACUACCGGGCAGAUUCCUAUGCAUUACUCACCCGUCCGCCGCUCGCCACCAGGGAGCAAGCUCCCCGUGCUGCCGCUCGACUUGCAUGUGUUAGGCCUGCCGCCAGCGUUCAAUCUGAGCCAGAAUCAAACUCUGA
rnacentral:rRNA from 1 species